UACGGGGGGGGGCAAGCGUUGUUCGGAAUUACUGGGCGUAAAGGGCUCGUAGGCGGCCAACUAAGUCAGACGUGAAAUCCCUCGGCUUAACCGGGGAACUGCGUCUGAUACUGGAUGGCUAGAGGUUGGGAGAGGGAUGCGGAAUUCCAGGUGUAGCGGUGAAAUGCGUAGAUAUUGCUCGGAAGGCCGGAGCCGAAGGGGCCCAACUGGUACGCAACUGACGCUGAGGCACGAAAGCGUGGGGAGCAAACAGG
rnacentral:rRNA from 1 species